rnacentral:tRNA from 1 species
GGGGAUAUAGCUCAGCUGGCAGAGCGCUUGCAUGGCAUGCAAGAGGUCAGCGGUUCAAUUCCGCUUAUCUCCACCA